UGCCACACAAGUGACGGUAAGCGAUACGAACAAGCGAACAAGAAGAAAAAAAAAGGUCAGGAAAGGAAACGACGAGAGUCUUCAGGCUGAGAACGCAAAAAAAAAACGAGGCGACACGCAAUCGAAAACGUCGGAGAUCUCUCCUUUUCAGGGCCUUCUUUUUUUUUCUUUUUGUGUGUGUGUGUGUUGUGCUGUUUGUGCGCUUGCGUGCUUCUCGGUUGUAUCCUUCUUCUUCAUCCUCUUUGCCUUUGCCUUGUCCGUCGACAGCGCGAGCGGGGGGAGGGAGAUCGACACAGUCACAGGCGUGCGGAGCACAGGCAAAAGCACACAACGCAGAAAAAAAAAACGAAGGAGCGCCGCCCCCUCUUCCCGCCUCUCUUUGCCUCUCUUGCCCCCCCCCUCUGAAUAGCGCAUCCUUACGAGCUGAAAGGCAGGCGCGAUAUCUCUGCCUCGGCGCCCCUUCCGCUCCGCGCAAAGACGCAGCGGUGGAAGCGCAAGAGGAGGGGCCUGACGGCACGAAACGAGAAGGAGCGGCCGAUACCAAAACAAAACAAAAAAAAACGAAAAGCAACACGCGUCAGAAGAAGGACAGCACAGCCCCUUCGCGUUAUACCGCUCUUCCUUUGCUGUUUCGUGGUUCACAUUCGCUUCUCUCCAUCCAUCAGACACCCCCACCCCCUUCUGGUCGUUCUCACUCCUCUCUACGUUUCGCAACUUAAGUGUGCGUAUUGUCCCUGACAUCCUGGCUUCUCUCCUCCUUCGCUCUCCCCCUUCCCUUUCCUGUUCUCCAUAGCCCGAGAAGAACGCAGGCACCCAAACAAAAAGCGCGCACGCGCACACGCACACGGUGUGCUGGUGUUUUCUUUGGCUCGUGUGUGUGUGUGUGUGCAUUCCUGCCUUUGUGCUAUUCAUCUCGUGCGCCGGUUUGUGGUUUCGUAUUUCUUUGUUUUUUCCGUGUUUUGCUUUCUUUUUGUUCGUUUUGUUUUUCCGUGCCCUCGUCCUGCAUUUCGCUGAAGUUGUUCUCUGUAUCACCUCCGCGCGUGUGCGUGCACGUGUGCACUUCACUUUCCUUUCGUAUUUGUCCACCACCUUCCAUCCCCGCUCUUCUUCGUUCUUUUUUUUGUUCGUUUCUCCCGUUUCGCUUGCUGUUACUUCUCUCUCCUUCCCUCUUUCUCCAGCCGCGUUCUUCCUAUCAUCGCCACCACCACUACCACUGCUGCAGCUGCCUCCUGUGCCCUUGUCUAGCUUGUGCACGCUGUCUCUUGACUCGGUUCUCGGCUUGCUGCUGCUGAUCUCUCUCUCACAUAUCUGCGCGCUUCCGUUACUGUUGAGUCUGUGUCUCUCUCUGUGUGUCUCUCGCGCGAAGAGACAGAGACAGGCACACCCAUACUGCCAGUGUAGUUAUUCUUUUUUGUUGUUGUUUGUUUUUCUACUCUGUUUCUCUCGUCUCCUCCCUCUUGUCUGUUCCAUCUCUUUAUUCGCUGUCUAGCUCAGUCGUCGGCUGCAAAUAUCUGCCCUUCUUUCUUUGUCUUUUUUCUUUUGGCCAUUUUUGUUUGUCAAGGCUUUUCUCUUUUUCCCUCGCUCUCGUCACGUGCCGCUCUCCCUCCCUCCCUCUCCCCCCUCCUCGAGCGGCUGCGACGGUGUUUCUGAUUCUCUGUAGUACAGCACACAUCCUUGUCUGUUACUUUCGGUGGAAAUUAGGAUUUGAAUUUCCUCGUCUGGUUGCACCCAAACCCAUACACGCAAACGGGCACAAGAUCGAACCAGCUUUUCCGCUAUCCAUCCGUCUUCGUGCCUGGCUGUUGCCCUGUCUGUCCGUGUGUGUGUGUGCGCGCGCUGCUCGUAGUCUUUUAAUUGUUCGGUCUUUUCUCUCCCCCGCCCCUUUUGGGAGUGCAAGCGUGUUGUUGGUUUCGCGCGUGUGCGUCUGUCCCUCUCUGUAUCUCACUCGCCUUGCCCUUGCACGCGCCUUUACUUUUUUGGUGAUCUCCCUUCACCUUCGCUGUUGUUUUUCCGCGUGUUUUCCUGGCUCUACUUGUCUUUCUCUUCCACAAGUGACGCCACAUAAGAGAGGGCGUGGGGGAAAGACACCAGCAAGGCGAAGAAGGAGAAAAGGACCGAACCACAACAGCAAGGAAAGAAAAGCAUAACCGUUAAGUAACCGAAACAAAAAAAAUUCAAAAGUGUUCCUCUGUCCCUCGCCCCUCCCCCGGCUCCUUUUUUCCGCCCCUUGUCUGUCUUGUGUGUCUGUGCGUGCGUUCCACCGCACAUACUCGUAUAUCUUCUUUUUCGCGCCCUUGUUGCUCCUCGCUAUCUAUAUGUAAAUAUUGAAAACUUCGUCGGCCACCGCGACACAAACACAUAUAUACCUGCGCUCAUUCACAUAAUAGGCGCACUCUUUCUCUCUCGUAUCAUCGCGGCGCACACACGAACAGAUACACAGAAACACUUCAACCGAAAAGAAAAUAAAGCGAGUGCAAGAGUAAAUCAAAUACGUCAAAGGCACUUCUAAGAGAGUGCCGCCCUGUUGUCCUCUUUUUUUUCUUGGUGUGUGUGUGUGUGUACGAGUAGUACGUGUUCCACGUGGAGCUCUACCAUCCUCCACUACGCGUAUUACAGUCAAGCAAAUCGAUCGACUCGCGUCCUCACCUCUCUCUCACGUGCACCGGAUCGAGGACGCAGGCCCGUCUCCAACGCACGCCGCCUACCUCACCCGUUCUGCUCACGCAAUCCCCACCCACCCACCCUAUUCAUCACCAACAUCCUCACCGUUCGGUAACGCUUGGUGCCCAUCAAUUCACGAAACACCGCUAUUCCUGUGUUUCUCUUCGACUUUGUUUUACCUUUUUUUUUUGUUUUUGUGUGUGUGUGUGUGUGUGUGUCUUGUUCUUUGCUUCAUCCCACCUUCCGGUGUCCAUCUCAGCAGCCUCUCCUCGUGUGCGGUUGCGUGUUUGUGCUUUUCCGUUUUUUUUUUGCUUCCUCAUCUCCUCCCUCACUGUCCUUCCCUGUACUUUCGUUGGUCUCUCCCUCUGAUCUUUCUGAACUCUUGCUUUCUUCUUUUUUGUAUUGUACUUUGUGUGUGUGUGUCUGUGCCUUCUCUUCUUCGGACCGGACGUUUUUUCUUCUAUUUUCGGCAUUUUGUUUCUUUUAAUCGCUCUCCCUCUCUCACGCAUCCCCUUAUUUUUAGUUGUUUUCCCAUUUUACAUGCGUCCUUGUUUGUUGUUGUCCUCUUUCUCGUUUCCUCUUGCUCGGGCUCGGAUUCGCCCUCCCUUUUCCCCAUCUGCACAUCACUUUGUGUGGCCUCGUCAUUGCCUCUUCCAAUUCUCUUUCUGCCUCCGUCGCCGCCCCUAGCCCUACACUCUCUCCUCUCUCUGUCUGGUAUUUUGUUUUGUCGUUUUUUUUUGUUUUUUUUUUGCUGUUUUUCUCUCCCUCUACAAGUCUAUCUCGGUGCGUGUCUGUGCUUGUGCCUCACAGACUUGCUGGUAGCGUGUAGCUGCUCGCGCGUGUGUCUGUCUGCGCUUCUGGUUGUAUGGGUGCUGUCUAUCUGCGUGCACAUUAUUCUACCAGCUCGUUCACCGUGUGGUCGGCUAUUCUUGCGGUUUUCUUUUCUUUCGCUUGCUUGCUUCCUGUAGCCCUUCGUGUAUUUCUUCUUUUUGCUGCUGUGCCUCCUCCCCGACGCAGCGGCUCCACCCACCCAAGCCCGUUCGCCCUGAGAAGAUACCUCCGCCUUCUCUCUACGUCCUCCCUCUUCGUCACUGUCUCCCUUCUUUACUAAUAUAUCGUUUCGUUGGUUUCACAGUUUUCCCCCUUUUCGUUCUGCUUUCCGUUUCUUCGUCUAGUCUUGCUUGUUUCUGUGUCUUUUUUGUGUGUGCUCUUCAUCUACCCCAUCACAAACACACACGCAUACUUACAGAAGCCUCUUCCUCUCAUCAGCAACACCACUUCCGCUCUCUUCGAUCCCAACAGAGUCAAGCCUCUCUCUCCCCAUCUCUGCCACACCCUCGAUAUUCAUCGCCGUGUACUCUCCUCUCGCGGGCUCCCUUCCCCCCUCCCCCCUUUCCUCUGGCCGGGAUUCAUAUUUCUGUGCGUGUGCGUAUCUGCCUCUACGUCCUUCGUCGUGUUCAGAGAGCAGGAAGCGCAAAGUCACGUGCGCAACAACAGCAACCAAAAAGAAAAAGAACGCAAAAAAAAAAACGGUAGCGAAAAAGAGGUGUUUCCUCUCAGCUAUCACACAUUCGCCUACCUUAGCCUGUGUGUUGUGGUUUGUUGCGGGUGUGUUCGUGUAUUUGUGUGCGUGUGUUUUGAUUUUUUUUCUGUGGCUUUGAAAUCUACGUGCUCUCGCUCCUCUUCCUUCAUCAUCUAUUUUCUGCCACUACACACAAAUACACAGACGCACGGCACGUCUCUCUCCCUCUCUUGUCCUCGCAUCGGUUGUUUUCUUGUGGUUUCGUAUUUCUUUUAUUUCGCGGUUCGCCUUCUUUUCUUCCCUUUCUUUUUUUUCUUGUGUUUUAUCGGCUCGUCCUCUCUCUCUCGGUUUUGCUCAAACACUCUUUUCUUUUUGUUGUUGUUCCUCUGACUUGUCUGGUUUGUUGUUUCGCCCCACACCCCCAUCCCCCCCUCAUCCCCCCUCAUCCCUCCCCUGAAUUCCUCUCUCGCUUCUGUGAGUGUGUUUCCGUUUGGCAUAAGCGGUGUCUCUGCUUCGUGUUGUUGGUUUGACUCCCUACCUCGCUUCAUUUUGCUCUUUUUUUUUGCUGGUUUCUUCCUUGCUGCCUGACGCACUUCUCUCACACACACUCUUGAAAAGCGUUCGUUUUUUUUUCUUUUGUCCUUGCCGCCUUCUUCGUUCUGCUCGUACUUCAGCUGUUGGUUUCGUUGCCGCCAUCAGCUCUCCUCUUUCCACUCACCAUCUCUCGCUCACUCUUGAACUAUUCAUUUUGAGUGCGCAACCGUCCCGUCUUUGUGACUGUGUGUGUGCAAGUAAGUUGUGACGUUUUUGUUUUUGUUUUUCCUUUUCUUCCGUUCGUUCUUUGCGCCCUCUCCCCCUCUAAUCCGCCCUCCUCCUCUUGUGUUCAUCUCCUUAACUGCUCUAACGGUGUGUGUGUGUGUGUGUGUUUUCUCUUUAUCUCUCAUUCUACCCCUUCCUUCCCUCCCUUCUUUUUUUUUGGGGGGAGCGACUGUGUGCGUGUGUGUGUGUGUUUAGGUGUGUCUGUGCGUAUUCUUUGGGUCCGUGUGCUUCACAGUGACCAGGUCUCCCUCUCUCCCUUUCUUCGCUUCUUCUUACCACCACCCUUCACACCUUCUCUUCUCGUAACUUUUCUCGCCUCCUCCAAAUCGCGCCCUCCAUUCCUAGGCUGCCUGUCGCAGCACCGUUUCUCUCGUUUUACGCCGACCGUGUGCUCUUUUCUCUCCCCCCCCGUUGUUUGGUUUGUUUCCUGAAGGAGGCCCGGCGUGCUGUUCCCCCCCCACUUUUCACUCUCUUCCAUUGCAACGCCUUGUCGGCUUCUGCGUGUCUUCAUCGUGCUCUACGUUGCCCUUCUCCGCCCCGCCCCCCCCCCUCCCCUUCUUCCCCCCCCCACCCCCUCCCGCCAGCCCAAAGUAGCAAGCCGUGAGAAACGCGAAAAAGCGGCCAACAAAAGGACGCAGAGAACAGCCAAAGCCCAAAAGAAGGCGGGUCACUUCAAGCCGCUGCGCACCCCCGCGCGCGCGCUCGCUCACCCACUCAUCCGUGCUCGUCAUUGUUCGCGUUUUCUCCCCGUUUGCUUUCGCGUCUACUAAUUAAUUUACGUGCGCUCGUUUUUUUCUCUACCCACCACCACCACCGAAGGUGUUCCCUUUCGCACAUAUCGUCCACGCUCUCACGUUCUCUUUUUUCUUUAUUUGUGUUCGCCUUCCUCUGUGAGUGUGUAUGUAUGUAUGUGUGUGUGUGUUCUUUUUUCUCAGCAACCCUAAUCAUCUUCGCACGCUCGUCUCUUCCACAGCAGCAGCAGCACCAGCAGCACACGCCUUCUGUUUCCGUGGCUCCCUCGCUUCCCUACUUUUCGUCGGUUUUUUAGGUGGUUUCUUUCUCUUCGUUCUUUAUCUCUGAGUCUUCUGUCUCACUGCCAUUCUUCUCCCCUCUCUUCUUCCCUCCUUCCCCACCCCCGUUGCUCUCGCGUACCGCGCGUUGUUGUUGUUUUCGUGUGUCUGUGUCUGUGUGUCUGCGUGUGUGUGUGUGUGUGUGUGUGUGCGCGUGCCGCUCCUUGGCCAGUAAUUCGGCAGCGACAACAGCGAAACCAAAAACGAAAGAAAGCCAACGCAAAAAAAAAACGCAACGAUAUUUAAAAAAAAGCGCUGAGGCCACGGUAACGCGAAAACUUCAAAAAAAAAAUUUUCCUCAAGGUAAAGAAACGAAAACGAGGUGCACCAAAGUCGGCGAAAGGGAGGUGAAGUCAAGGAAAGCGCCCCCCGUUCUCGUGCUGCUCUUCUUCCUUUUCUUCUUCGCUCCUGUGUGUGUGUGUGUGUGUCUGUGUAAGCCUCUCGGAAGUAUCAGCGCCACUCGCUUGUCUCUCCCUCACAAAACGGCACGUGUUUACUGGGCGAUCGCAGACAAGCGUGUCGUUUUCCUCUCUCUCUCUUGUUUAUAUUUCCCUUCGGAAGAAAGGACUUGGUUGUUGUUGUUGCUGUUUUGGCUCGACCCCCCUUUUGCGAGUGAGCCCGCCACCUCUUCUGCGGUCACCUGCUUUUCUCUCUUAUUUUUUUCUAUUUUAUUUUUAGAUCGGUGGGUUCUCUUCGUAUAUAUUAUAUUCUUUUCGGCCAUUCCCCCCCCCUUCUCUUUCCGGUGCUCCGAAAAUUGAGCGGCAAGAGUAGGGCGAAGCGGGUCUGUCUCUUGAGUCGCUUUUUGCGCACGUAUUUUAUCGUAACCACCGCUGGGCCUUCUCUUCCCUUCCAUUAUUAUUACUGUAUUCUCCCGUGUGUCUGUGGGCCCAAAGGAUCAACCCCACAAGCACAAGAUGGGCGCCACCCCUUCACGUGAGGCGAAGCCGACCAUUCGGUCGCUGCGUUACGGCAACCACGAAAUCGGCCUCAUCCCGAUCACUCGCGCCUACUUCAACGACCAAAACCCGCAACUGCGGCAGCAAUUUAUUCGUGUUCGCAAUGACCCCAACGUGCGCUACAGCCAUACACGCCCUCGCGGCUACAGCAUGGCAGAGGUGCCUCCUGCCAACUAUACGGAGGCAGACCUUGAAGCUUUUCUCGACACGGUCGAGCGCUCUUUGUUUGACACGAACGAGGAGAUGCUCGACGCCGGUGCACUGCAGACGCCAACGAUCAGCAUGGCGCACCUCCAGCACAUCAUGCAGUGCGACGGGGAGGUAGACGUGUACGACCCGACGCUCGAGAAAGAGGCGGAGGAGAGCGACAAGAGCAGCCAGCCGCCCACUUCCGUGGAGCCGUUCUUCCUCGGCGCCAUCGGCACGCCAUCGUUGCCGCCCCACAACAGCGUCAACAGUGGUCACGCGACAAGCCCGCAGAACCCGUGCCCGCCGCGUGAGACGACGAGUUGGCUGCGCUCAACGUCCCUGUCCCUGCGCGCCUCCUCGUCGGACGAGGCCGGCAACAGCCCCGCCCACUCGGCGUCAGCCGUGUCUGCCACUUUAUCUCUCAACGCCGCCACGUCGCACAUGCUGCUGCCCCCGUCUACGCCGACGGCACCGCCGCAGGAUGAGAAGACAUUGAAGAUGCCGAGCGCUGAGGACUGUGCAACCGACUGGUUCCUGAGGCUCAAGGGCCUCCUCCAGGCGCACCACCGCCGCGUGGACGAGUCCUGCAGCCCCAGUGACAGUGACACUCACAACCACCAUGAGCAGUCGCCGUGUCCGUCCCAGUUCAAGUCUGAGGAGUAUAUGCGCUUUAAACGUGCCGUGCAGCCCGUGCCGUGCGCGGUGUUGUUCAUCUACGUCAGCAACCGCGAGGAGCACGACUGUUUCACGUUCCAGGGCCACCGCGUGAACGUCAUCGGAAGCUUCGACAUGCGCAGCCACGACGAUGACCGCGACGCCUUCACACCAACGCUGCAGAUCCGCAAAGCUAUCCUCAAGGCCGCCGGCGACCGCACGCUGGAGCGCGUGCUCGCGCUAUCGACGAGAUACUACCUGGACAGCUUCACCGAGAUCGUCCUCAAGCAGCUGCAGCGACGCCCUGUUGCGGAGCUGUUGGCGGGCCUUGGCGAGGAGGCGCGAAACCUGCUGUGCGACCUGCCCCCCAGCCCCCUCGCUGGCGGCACUGACGGCUGCUCGUCCAUGCACGACCCCGUUUCGGUUGCGCGGGCGCUCUUCUACGAGCGUAUCACAAAACUGCCGCUGGUCGUGUCGUCCCCUUUCAAUAACUACCCUGCUCUCAAGUUCAUCUACGACUUCACCUCCCUCACGCACAGCAUCGAGAACAGCCAGUUUGUCCGCCCAGGCGACCUGCGGCUGUGCACGUACGACCGUGAGAAGGGGGAGCGCGGCAUCGUCUUUCUAUUCCACGGCCGCGCGCUAGCGCUUACCUGGCUGUGGGCGACAACGCAGACGCAGACGUCCACGGUCCGUGAGUCGUGGACGCAGUACACACUGUGCGAGCAUACCCAGUCCCGCGAGCGGCGCGUGCAGCACUGGCUCGCCACGGACCCACGGGCUAAGACGCUGCUCGGAGACUCGGCCAUCACGACGUGCUUUGAGCAGCACCUCGGGCACCUCCACAGCGAGAUCGUGCGCGCGCGCAGCACCCCGACGGACGACGCAACCUCGUGGUCUGACGUGCAGGAGUACAGUCACGACAUGAAGCUUUACCGCAUCUUUCUGUCCCCGCUCUGCGGGCCGCUGCUUACGACGGUCAAGACGGCGAAGCCGGAGAAGGCAAAGGAGCGCGGCAACGUCAAGAGGGCGUCGGCUCCCAGCUCCACACCGAGCGCCGCAGACGGCGGCAAUGCAUCGACGGGCUCUCGAAGCAUAGCCACGUCGGAUCUGCGGUUGAUGAUGAUGUCGCCGUCAGGGAAUGUUUCUCCCGCGAACAAUCGCAGCUGCAUGCAGGCGCGCGGCAAGAAGUCCCCGAACAGCCCACUGACGGGCCUCAGCACGUCUGGGAGGACCCCGUCCACCUCAAACUUCUCCACUAGCGCCGCAACAUUGGGCGGUGGCAGCAGCAGCAGCAGCGCUCCGCUCUGCAUGAGCGGCACCGCCAACAGCACCUUCCUGCACCCGCCUCCACACGCUCCGUCUACCCUCAGCGGCGACGGCGCGACGCGGGUGGCAAUGCCAAGAAGUUUCAUGGCGUCUGCUGCCUUUACAAGCCAGGCGGCUCCGAUUGCCGGCAUGCAUGGGCCGAUGCCUAUCUAUUUCACCGACACGCUGCAGCAACCGCAGCUGCAGCCUCCGUCGAUGACACCGCCGAGCAACUCGCUGCAUCUUCUGUCGCAGACGGUGCCGCCGUCGUCGGAGCCGCAGCAAACGGGUUGCUUGUCGCCGAUGCUUGUAACCUCGCCACCGACGGGGCUUCCCUUCUCCGUGCCGUCCGCGCCUUGGUCGACGCACUCCUUCAUCCAGUCGCCGCAGCCGUCACAGUCGACGGUGACAUCGCCGGGCCAGCCACCGACGGCGGUCUCCACCUCAUAUGUUGUGCAGGUAUCCAGUAACGGUGUGCAGACGCUGAUGCCCAUCACGUUCGCGCCGACCCCGAGCUCGGCCAUUCCAAGCGUGAGCUUCUUCCAUGCAGACAGCACCCAGAGGAGCAGCGCGAACGCGCCGCACGCAGCCCAGCCGCCACCACUGCCGCCGUUUUCGGCGACGAGGACGACGAGCGGGAAGGGCGACACGUCGUCGCUGUCUUCCUCGCAGCAGUCGUUUGGCAGCAAAGGCACACCGCACGCGGGAGCGUCCGUCCUCGGAGGUGUCUCCUCGCCAUACCCCCAUUCGACUCACAACCUCGACGGCGCCGCUGCCGUGCCGUACCCGAAUGUGAUGGCCGCCUUUGCCACCGGACACGGCGGCGCCCCAAUGGCCACCGUGUCCUAUCAGAUGGCCCCACCGCACUCGACGUCACCGAUGUUUGCGACGAUGCACCAGGCGCCGGCACAACCUGUGAGCGACCCCACUGCGUGUUUGGCCACACCUAAAACCUACGUCCCCGUCGGCUACUUCAGCACGUCUGUGCCCGGACCCGCUUUUAUGCCGCAGUGAGAAGCGAACCUCACCCACAGAGGCACUAGAACGUUGAAAAAGUGGCGUGCUUCUCGUACACGCGCACAGCGGCUCAUGGCAGCACAACCGCAAACAGUAAACAGCCGUGAGGUGGUGCUACGCCCUCUCCUCCGUUAGCUUUCACACAAAAAAAAAAACAAGGAUGUAUUCUCAGCUGCAGCAAGAGCAUCUUCUGGAGUCUUGGCAAGUGUAUGUGUCCGUAGGGAGAAGAGGGCGAAGGAAGAGGGGGGCACCCACCCGCCCACUCGCUUCCCUGCCGUUGUUUUCCUGUACCUGUCUGGCAUACGUUGUUUCCUUUGUGCGACGAUGUAUAUAGAAAGAAAGACGGCAACAACAACGUUGUUCAGCUUCUUCUGCUGUCCAUUUCGUUGCUCUUCUUUCGGACUCUGCCUGUGCGUGUGUUGUAUGCGUUUGUUGUGUGUGUGUGUGUGUGUGCCGGUGUCUUCGUUUUCAUGUGUUUUGCUUGCCGCUCUCCAACUCUCUCGCCCCUCUCUUACCUCGCUUCUCUCCUCCCUCGCCCCCUUCACACACAUGCGCGUUCUCUGUGCGCACCUUCUUUUGUUUUUUUUGUUCUUUUACUUGAUGAGUGAGUCCAUCAAUGCCUCCCCCGACCUUUCCCUCUUUCCCUCUUCCUCUUCCUCCAUUUUUCUUUUUAUUUGAACUUCGCGCUCGACUUUCUUUUUGUUUCCCUUGGUGCGUUCAAUUGCUUGUUUCUGUACAUGUUGUUUCUGUGCUCUCCCUCCGCUCACUUCAGCAGUCACCUCUUUUUCCUUUCUCCUUUCUCUCGUCACCUCGGUAAGCGCGUCCUCAAGUGUCCGCAUGUUGUUCUAUUUUAACUUUCUUUGUUGUUGACUGGCCGCCUCUCUCUGCCUCUAUGUGUGUUUGUCGCCUCUCCUCCGCCCCCCACCUGACUUUUUGUCUCCAUCUUUUUUUUUCGUGUGUGUGUGUGUGUGUGCACGUGCAUGUGUUUGUGCGCAUGUGUGUGUGUGUGUGUGUGUGUGUGUCGAUCGCGCGUUCUUCGUUUUGCCUUCACUUUAAACACACAGGCAUACGCACACACACACGCGCGCGUGCCUCUCCUCUCUUCUCCCCUUCUCUCCUCUCCUAUGUUUUAUUUUAGUUCACUGGAUCUCUUCUCCUGCGUCGUUUUCGUUUUUGUGUGUGUGUGUGUCCUUUUUUUGCUUGAUUUUUUUUGUUUCACAGGCUCGGUCGUGAUGCACUCUCACUCCUUGAUUGUUUCGUUUUAUAUCUGUGUGUGUGUACUUGCUUCUCGUGUAUUGCUCACCGCGGUUCUUUUUAUGCCUCUCCCUCCGGCAGCUCUUCGCGCUUUCCCUCUCUUCAGUUCUCUUCCACUUGUGUGUGUGUGCGUUUGUGAGUGCGGGAUAUUGAGGGUGGAGGAGGGCGGAGGCGGUUGGUGUUGUUGUCUGUCGAAAGACAAUUUCCUUUUUGCUUUUCGAUUGGUUCUCUUCCCCACCCCUUACUUUUGGGGGACAGGGGUAUUCCUUCUCCUGUGCGCGCUAGCAAGUGGGUGGGUGGAAAGGGGUACACCUGCCGCAGCGUAUCUCUUCUCCCGCGCCGCCACCACCACCCACCCACACACUACCCCUUCUAUGCACCUCUCUGGGUGUUUGUGUGUCUAUCACACUGAGACACACAAAAACACAGAGGCAUCUGCCCUGUCACAUGGGGGGGGGGGGGGGGCUUCAAAUGCUCCAUGAGGGCAGGCAACGCUCACUGCGCUUUCUUUUAUUUUUGUAGGUGUGUGCAUGUGUGGUGAUGUGAGCCGCUGUUGCUCUCUUUGCCCUCAGCGGAUUCGAGUCCCUCGCUGCGCACAUCUGCCCUUCUCCUUUGUUUCUCAUGCCUGUGACCGAUAGCGUCGCUCUCCGCCUGCUACUCCGUCUGCACCCGUGUGCGUGUAUGUGUGUGGACUCGCCGACUCUCACUCGCUCGCACUGAAUCCUCUAACCUCGGAAAUGUUACCCAUGAGUGACUGUGCGUGGACGAAAGACCGCGGUGAUAGAUCGUGCGUGAGUUGCUGCGCGCGUGUCAAUCAACCUGGUGAAACGAGAAACCAAGACCGAGAGAAAGGAGAGCACGACGAGGAAAAAGAAAACAAGAAGGCAUUUGUGAGAUCAUCAAGACUUUUUUCUCUCUACUUGUUUGCGUCGCUUCCUCUUGCGUGUCUGUCUGCCCCGCAUAAAUAUCCACACACAGGCAUCAGUGCCUGCGUCUGCGGGGAUAGGCGGCGCUAAACGCACCGAAACAGUCGUAGCCAAGCAGGAGAACAUGUGAUGAUAAAAGGUAUUCGAAUGAUGCCAGUGGAGCCAUCCGCAGCGAUGACAAAAAGUAGGCGCAGACGGACAACACAAGACGACGGCAGAAAGAAAAUGAAAAGAGCGCGAUGACUGGCCACGAUUAAAGAAUUGAAAAGAAAAAGGUGAGGCGUAUGAGUGUCUUUUGUUUGCUUUCGUCACCGCAUGUAUGUAUGUGAGAGAGAGGGAAAGCGAGAAGGGGACAGACAUCACGAAGGUUCUCGUUUUUUUUUCUCCGUCGUACCCGCAAACGCCUCCGCAAAUUCUCUCCUUGGUUUCCGAAGACAUUCCUCACUUGCGCACGAUGCUAUGAAGUUUCUCUUGGAGCAUGUAUCUUCUUCCGGUGUGCUGAGAUGUCUCUCUCUCUCUCGCUCUCUCGUAGGUACCACAGUGCACCCCCUCGUCCUAUUCUCCCGCGGUCGACACGACGCGCUGUUACAUGGCGUAUGUGAAUGGAGUAGGGGAGGGUCGUAACGCAUGUGCACUCUUUCUGCGCUGUCCUCUUUUCGUUUGUUUUUCUUUGGUUUUCGCUGAUGCCUCGUGUUGCACACCAGCUUAGCCCCUCCUUCUACAAUACGCUCCCCCGAACACUCAUCCAUCACACACACACACACACAUCACCUCUUUUACUGCCGAAGAGCGCCUCUCCUAACUUGUUCCUUUUUCUUGUUUUUGUUCUGGACGGCAAUCCUCUUUUGCUGUGGCGCAUCUUCCAGUGCUUUUCGCGCUUUUUAUGCCUUUACAACCCACCGGCACUUCUUUGGUUUUUUUUUUCGCAUGUUUCUUUGGUUUUCUCUCUGAAUUGAACCGUCGUCUCGCUUUUUUUUUCCAGAGGAGGAGGGGGUGUUUGUGGUCGUCGUUGUCGUUCAUUGUCAAGUGUGCUUCAAUGUUUUUCUCUCCACUAGCGCGCAAACAUCAGCCUCUCGUUCUCCCUUUCCUCCUUCCUCUCAUCUCCGUACCGAGAGCUUUUCCCCAUGGAGGCGGAUCGCGAUUUAUUGCGCACGGCCGCGUGCGCGCGCUUGACUUCUCGGUUUGGACGUGGACUGUGGCACGUUCGGACCCUAUAAGCGUGUACACAUUUAUGCUCCCCUGAAAAAGGGGAGUGAUCUCGAGUCUUCUGCCCACCCGCCACACGCACACACACACACACGCACACCUUCCCUUCAUCCGCCGAUCUUUCAGUGUCAUGUGCACAGAGACAGGCACGAAGACCCACAACGCCCUAAGUGGCCUGUUAGCUGGUCUUCUUCCCCUCUGCUUUGCCUUCUUUGUGUGCGUGUGUGUCCUCCUUGUUGAUCUUACCCUCUCGGUGUGUAUAUCUGUAUCUGAGCGUGCGUGUGUGUGUGUGUGUGGCUACGUAACUGGGUCGCCGAGCUCUUUUCUCUGUGUUUGUUUCUCUAUAUAGUUCGAAAGCAAAGAACUUCUUUUUCCUCGCACUGCUGCACCGUGGUAGUUAAGUCGCUCCUUCCCUUUCUUCUGUGGCUCCCGCGUGUUCUCCUCAUAUUACCUAUUAUUGCUAGCACCACCUCCACUACUCUCUUUCUCUGUCUGUCAGUGUACCUGUUCUACGGGGUGCGAGAAGAUGGAUUCAGGGGGUUUUGUUUGUUUUGUCUCCUUCACCGUGCGCAUCUGGCCACCGCUUCUCAGCCGCCAGGCGGGCAUCCCCCCAAAAUCGCGGUGCAGGAUGCGGCACGCCACAACGAGAGGUACUCGGCGGCCACCGUUCCACACCAAUGAGCAAGGAUUCUGAGCUCACCGAGCGACAGGAGUCCACCGUCGCCCAGCUCCAUACGGGUCGCAUGGAGUGCGGAUGCUGCGCUGGCUGCUCCUCCGCUAGCAUCGUGGUACUCCCCCCCCGCCCCCGCGUGAUUCUGCUAUGAGAGCGUCCGCUCCGGCGCUGCGCCGAAGACGCUACGCGAGAUUUGCGGAUCGCUCGAGGCCCAGAGCACACCUCAUUUCACGCUGUGGCCUUGCGUGCAAUGAUGUGAGUGCACAUGUACUCCUCGCGCUGCGUGAGCCUCCUCCGUUCGGUGUCUGUGGCUGCCCCCUGCGCCCCCCUUCAGAAUGGCAGGCUGUGAGCCCUUCGUGCCCAGGCACAUGCCUCUCCGCGGGCCCAUUCCGCUCAGCGCACCCACUGCGGUGAAAGGUGUGCGAAUUCGGGAGAAGGCGGAGUGUCCCUGCCGCCACAGGCUCACGGCAGCGUCCCAUCUGCCGCGGCACAUGCGGGCAAGCCGUCCAGACACGCCCCCAUGGCAUCGACGGAAAUGGAAUGUAAUAACAGCGAGCCCCCCCCCCAUCCCCAGGCAGCAACGCCGUCCUGACGCAGAGCCCAGGAUGCAAGAGUGCGAGCGCUGUGCGCACGAGCUGUCAAGUACGGCUGGCAUGGCGUAUCGCAUCCGACCAAAGCAUCCCGAGGCUGGCAGAGCGCGACUGAUGGACGAGAAAGGUGCGAAGAGACUCGAUACCGACCAGCCCCACAGUGCAUGCGCGCGAAGCAUGCGGCAUCCUCUCCAUGUGACCGGGUGGGCUGAUGAGGCGCAGACGCCGGAGGCAUCACGCCAGCACCGCGAGUUGCACCAGCGAGUCCUCUCCAGGCUCACGUGUGUGGCGAGUCCCCACACCCUAUCAUGCAAUGCCGCGGCUUGAAGCGACUUAGGAAGAGGCACGGCGUGCCGGCCGGGUGCAGGGCCUCAGCGAGGGCCCUGGCCUGAGGCUGGCCAACCUCCUCCCGGAGCUCAUCGGGCAUGCGCCUAGACCCAUCCCCUACUACCCGCACGGCAGACGCCACCGCCACCGCCCUCGAGCAGGACCCUGGACGCGGCCCGCACAGGUCAAGGCAUGCAGUUCACGCAAGGCCGCCUGGCGCCGGUCGCGCAGCACGUACCUGACGAAGGGCUGAGGGAGGAGAGGGCGAGCCCGCGCGACGCACGGCCCCGAUUCGACGGCAGGGCGGUUCGUUCUAGAGGGUCGGGGAUGGUGCCGUGGUGCAGCAGGGCCAGGUGAGCGGUGGUUGCCUGCAUCUAUCGGCUGACUUGUACGUGGUGGGAUGGGCGCGUGGGAGGAUAUGUGAAACGAGCAAAAAAAAAAAGGAUGUUGUGUGUGCGCUCGCCUGUGUGUGCGUGUGCGUGUCUUUACGUUGAGCAGAUGUGUUUUGUUUUCUUGUUCGUUGACAAACAUGUACACACUUGUUCAUAUGUUAGCCGCUCGUGUCUUCUCUCUCUCCCUCGCCUUUUCCUGUAUGCGAGCGAUACGUAAAGUAAUAUGUAUGCGCGGGCUGUUUUCUGUCGUUUGCCUAAUCUGUGCUGUUUUCGUUUUUGUUUGGAUUUCCAUCAGAAUCUCCGUCUCCGCUGUUCCGCCGCCCCCCCCCCUCUGCCUUUAGCUUCCCUGCCUCCCGUUUUUCCUUUUACUUCCCCCGCCUGUAUGUAUGCACUUGUGUGUUUAACGGAUAGGACGUGGUUCACGCGUCUCGUGUCUGCGCCCUUUCGGGGUCUUCAUCUCUCUACUCCCCCUCUCCCCUCCCCUCCAUUUCUUCGAUAGUGUUUCCUCUUUCAUUCUUCCUCCUCCUCCCUCCUUCCCUCUUCCUGUCCGCCACCACCACCACCACCACCCUCUUUCUUCCACUCUUCCUCCUCCUCUUUCACCUCUCUCGCGCGCUCUCUCUGUAUGUCGUUCUCUCCUUCUCGUACUGUUUGCUCUUUUUUUUCCUUUCUUCUCGUUUUCUGUGUUGCUCGCGACGCGCCUCUGUUUCGCUUCUUUGGGGGUAUUUGUGUCUGCUUGUGUGUGUGUGCGUGUAGUAGAGUCUUCCCGCCCCCCCCUCCUCAAGUUGAAUGCUCACCCCUCCGCUCCGCUCCCCCUUCAUCUUUCUCGCCUCGCCACCACUUCGCUUGUCUUCCUUGCCUCUCUCUGUCUCUUUCGGAACAACAAGUUCCGUGCGAUGUCUGUGCUUUUUUGUGUAAGCGUGCGUGGAGGGGGAAGGGUGCGUGGUUGCGCUGGAGAUCGCGGCAGGGUUACGACCUACGCGGAAGACCUCUAACCAGCCAAAGCAGUCGGUCGCAAGUGCCAUCACAGAUCGUCACCGCCGCCUCUUUUAUGUUUUAUUUUCUUUGACACUCGCUCAUGCGCGUAUGUGUGCAUGCGGUGUGUGCUCGUACAUGAGCGAGACCGAGUACGUACCCCAAGUACCUUCUCCUAUCAGCACAACACACGUGCGUCGCUCUUUUUCUCCUCACCAUACAGACCCUUCUCUACCUCCUUGAAGGCGAUGUGCAAUUUGACUACACACGCGAAACAAAUGCCUGAAGAAAGCAACAAAAAAAAAGAGAGAAGGAUUGCUGCUCCGUUACGGCAGCUUAAUUCACCGCCGCGCUUGCUAUAUCAAUGUACAUGGAUGUAUCUCUGCGUGUCUUUGUUGAAAUGUCCCUCACCUGGAGUUUAUGCAUGCAUCACGAGCUUAACCACACAUUGAAACCCCGACUCGCUCUCCUCCAAAGGCAUACGAAAAGAAUCUCAGUGUGUUACAGGAAGUGUGCGAUCGCGCACUGCUUUGGUCGGCCUCUCUCCCUACCCCCUCCCCUCCCCACCACCCCCAACACUGCACACACAGAUACACACCCAGCUUAAUUGGUUGUCUUCGUGAUGUGCGUACUUCCACGCGGUUCUGUACUUGCUGCAUGAGUAUAUUAACUCCCUCUCUUCGUGAUGUGCCUCUUCACCACUAUUCGUUCGCCUUGUUCACAAGCUACGAACUCACUUUUUUUCUCCCCCUCCACGCGCAACCAACAUAGUUCUUUUUAUUGCUUCUCCUUUCUCCCUGCUCCUGUCUCUGCCGAGGCUCGAUCUGCCAGCCUCUUCUUGUUCGCCUAUCUCUUUUUCUCGGACUGUCUGCCCGCUCCCUCCUUCCCAGGAUGAUCGGCUCAUCCCUUCUCUCGAGUCUUUUGCUGCCUCCAUCUUGGGCUUCUCCCUUCUCCCUCUGCCUGUGGUGCACCUUGUGUGCACAUGUGUUCCAGCUUUCUUGUGCGCGUGUGUGUGUGUGUGUGUGUUGGUCCGUGCGUCUUGCUCUCCUCUCAUUUCUCUUUAGCGUCGAAGUUGUGCAGCAUGUGUCAAAACAAGAACAAAAAGUUUGAAGGGCACGCUAUGCGAUCGAGUGACGGACUUCUUUCCCCUGUCCUUCCUGAUGUUAGGAUUGUGUUGCAGUUAUGCGGAGAGAGCGAGAGAGCAGGAGCGAUGCGGAAGGGACAGCUGCACAGGGAAGGUGAGAGAGAGGGACAGCAUGUUCGAGGGAAAACAACACACGCACAUGAAUGUGUAUACAUCCCAUCUGCAAGCAGAAACUGACACGUUUUUUAUUCGCUUCCUUUCUGCGCUUGCACGCAAAGGCACUUCUCUCUCUCGCACGUCCUCUUUCACUUUACCGGCGGGCUGCCCCCUUUCCUUGCCCUCCUCCUCUCCCAACAGCUUCUCACGUUUGUACUCGUUGAACAGCCUCUGCGAGUGCCUCCCAUCCCAUCCCAUCCCAUCCCAUCCCUGGUGCUCUUUGCUCCCUGUGGCUCGUCUGAGCCACCUUCCCAUUUUUUUUUCUUUGCGUGUGGCUCGAUCUCUUUCCUCUGCCCCCAACGAUGCUCUUCCGUUUUCUCUCUCUCUGGCGUUCUCCCCUCUUACCUCCACAUCUCCCUCAUGGCACCCCUACGCCAUCCCAUGGGCCUCCCCCUCUUCCCUCCCUCCUUUCACCCCUCUCCCCCUCUUUGUAUCUCCACCUCAUCUUGUCUACUCUCACGGUCUCGCCCUGAGCUACGUGUGUGUGUGUGUGUGUGUGUGCGUGUGUGUGUGUGUAUGCCUGUGUGAGUGUGCCUACCCGUUAUGGGCACUGCAUAGCACGAAAAGAGAUACGCAAUACUGCAACUACACAGACACGCACACACACAGAGAGAGAGACGUGGAGAUAUCGGCAUCGCAUGCCACUGUUGCUGUUUUGGUUGUUGAUAUAUUUUGCCCUGUGCGCAUGUGUGUCCGUGUGUACGUAAAGGUGAAUGCAGCACCAAUGUAAAAAAAAAAAGGAGAUGCACCUCUCAUUGGGCGGGGCACACCACGUGUGUGUUUUUCUUUUUGUUUUGAGCACGUGUGUAUAAUUGCCUGUACCCCCUCCUCCCUUGCUCCUACCUCGUCUUGUUUUCGUCCCCACCCACUUUUUUGUUGUUGUUCGAGUGCGAUCGUUUUGGUGUUCUUCACCGCUACCGCCAUCACCGACACCGUUUAUUUUUGUUGUAUGUGUUUCCGCCUCGCGUCCCCCUCCCUCCCUCCAAUGAAAAGACGCGAUUACCGCACGAUUUUGUUUGCUCUUUGUUGACUGUUUUUUUUCGUGGAUGCGUGCUCCAUUUAAGCGAGUCGUUCGGUGUUUGGUGCGAGUUCUUGCAUGUUAGCUCUCUCUCCUCUCACGCGCCGCCCCCCCCCUCCCCUCCCUCCCUCUUCAUGAACACUCAAGCGCACGCAAAGGCACGCACACCCACGCCCUCUUGACGCAUGUCGUUGAGGAGCAGUGGUUCUUCCUGGCCGUCUUUCUUAUCUUCUCCCAUUUUUUUCCUCUCUCUUCCCUUUCUCUUUUCUCUUGUGGAAGUGUGUCGCGGAGUGGCGUGUGUGUGUUCGUAGAGAAACGAGAAAAGGCAAAGCCAGAGGGCAGGCCGACUCUGACGUUAUUACAGGAACGUGGAGCCGUUGUAUCUGUUUCUUUCGUGUAUUUUUUUUUAAGGUGCGUGUGCGUGUGCCUGUGCGUGUGUGUGUGCGUAGAGGGAAGGUGGGAUGGUCUCUAGCGCAAUGCUGCCUUGCUGCUUAAUGCUAGUGUGACUGUGAGUCUGGGUGUGAGCUUUUUGGUUUCUGCUCUUUUUUUCGUAGUGAGAUGCUCUUGCAUUUUCUUUUUGUGUGUGUGUGUGUGUGUCCACAUCUCCCUCAAUGUGAAAACGAAUGUGUCUCCCCCUCCCUUUGGCGAGUUCUUCUUCCUUGUGGUGUGUGUGUGUGACUCCCUCUCCUUGUGCUCCGACAGUAUACAGAAAAGCGGCUCACAGACACCCACCAAGAGGUAAGCCGUGCCUGAAGGUUGGUAAGAAACGAAAGGGAACAGAAGUACGCGCUGAAUGCCAUGGAAUUGGGUGAAGGUUGUAGGGCUGCACGGUGCGUCUCUUUUCGACUUAUUUUUGUGUCGGUGUGCGCACUACCCCUGCCCCGCGCCCCCCCCCCUACCCCUCCUCCUUCUCCCUCCGACUCCAGAGGAAAAAAAAGAAGAGCAAUUCGCGCCGCGCGCGGUGUCGAUGCCAUCUCUCCCUCCCUCCCUCCUGCUCAUCUUGUUCAUGUCCUUCAUCUUUGCUUUCUGUGUGUGUGUUUUGUUUUGCUUCUCAUUCCCGACCCCAACCCCCUCCCCUCCCCCUUACCCUUUUGUCUCCAUCGAGGUGGUCACUUGCUGCUGCGUCUCCCCUGUAGCGAGCUCGCUCCCCUCGCUUUUUUCCCUUUCUUGCUGUUGUGCGCAUCGCUUGCGCUUCUUCGCUUUUUUCUCUUCCGUUGAAGUAGGAGACAGCGUCGCGUAGCUCUGUGAACGUAGUCUUCUGUGAAACGGAAGCGUUCAGGGUCGAAGGCGGUGCAGCAGCUGCGCGGGACGAAGUGGAAGGCGCACACGUUACAGACAGAGGCACCGAUGCACUCCUCCUGGUGCGCACACCGUGGUGCUCUUUUCUGCUUUUCCUCUCGCGUGUCUGUUUCCGUGCGUUGGUGCCCGACGUGAAUGGGGCAGGCGUCGUUUCACGCUUGGUGCUCGCCUGCUGCCCUCUUUCUCUGUCUUCUGACUCUUCGAACGACGUAUGGCAUCUUGCACUCGUCGAGGAUGGGCCCGUCACGCCCAUCUAGACAGCAACGCAAAAAGAAAAUGUGGAAAAAACAUAAACAAAGGAGGCAUCUGUGUUAGUGCACUCGUAAAGAGAGAGAGGGAGGGAGACAGUUCGUGGCGGUCGUUCUAGGUGUUAGUGGCGCGCCGUCGGCAGGCAAGCACAUAUCGAUGGAAGCGACAAGAUGUACAGAACGAAAAAAAGCAACGGAGAAAUGCUUUUUUUUUUUGUUUCUUUCGGAGUCCAAGGUAGCUGCAAGAGAAGCUCUCACGCGUGAGAAGGCGGCGGAAGCGUAAGCACACGAGCACGCACGUACGAUGGAAUGAGUGGCGCUACGUGGACUUCUGUGUGUGUGUGUGUGUGUGAAUCUGUAUUCUUUCCCAGUCGUCUUCGCUUCCAUUAAGAAACCAAAACGCCCAUCACAGGAGCUGACCGCCACGCACGCAUGUAUAUGAACAAAAAAAAAGAAAACGGACAAAAAAAAGCGUGCGCUGAACUGUGAUGCCUCUUUUAAAAAAAAAAAAAAACACAAGCCGGCACAUAUGUGCGUUGUUUUUUUGUUGUUGUUUUUGUCCUUUUUUCUUUUUUUCGCUGUAGUGCCGUCGUUGUCGUUUUUUCAUGCUGUGUGUUCCGUUGUUUUGAAAAUAAAACGAAGAGAUCUAAUCAGGAAGGGCAGACGAAGGAAAACGAAGAACAAGAAAAGAAAGCAACGCAAGGCGCGCACCAUGAGCGGAGGGAAUCGUGGAAAGAAGAAGGACACCGCGUUGCUGUUCUUGCUCUUUGCUCGUCGGCUCUCUUCGCCUUCCUUUCGUGUGCCAACGGAAAAGG
rnacentral:misc_RNA from 1 species